UACGUAGGGUGCGAGCGUUAAUCGGAAUUACUGGGCGUAAAGCGUGCGCAGGCGGUUAUUUAAGUCAGGUGUGAAAUCCCUGGGCUUAACCUAGGAAUUGCGCUUGAGACUGGAUAGCUUGGAGUGCGGCAGAGGGAGGUGGAAUUCCACGUGUAGCAGUGAAAUGCGUAGAGAUGUGGAGGAACACCGAUGGCGAAGGCAGCCUCCUGGGCCAGCACUGACGCUCAUGCACGAAAGCCGUGGGGAGCAAACGGG
rnacentral:rRNA from 1 species